GCUCCUAGUACGAGAGGACCGGAGUGGACGAACCUCUGGUGUUCGGGUUGUGUCGCCAGACGCAUUGCCCGGUAGCUAAGUUCGGAAUCGAUAACCGCUGAAAGCAUCUAAGCGGGAAGCGAGCCCUGAGAUGAGUCUUCCCUGAUACUUUAAGUAUCCUAAAGGGUUGUCGGAGACUACGACGUUGAUAGGUCAGGUGUGUAAGUGCUGUGAGGCAUUGAGCUAACUGAUACUAAUUGCCCGUGAGGCUUAAC
rnacentral:rRNA from 1 species